AUGACCCCCAUCCUCAUGGUCCUGAUCUGUCUCGGGUUGAGUCUGGGCUCCAGGAACCACAUGCAGGCAGGGACCCUCCGUAAGCCCACCCUUAGGGCUGAGCCAGGCUCUGUGAUCACCAAGGGGAGUCCUGUGACCCUCAGAUGUCAGGGGAGCCUGGAGACCCAGGAGUACCGUCUAAAUAAAGAAAAAGCAUCAGCAUCCUGGAUUAAGUGGAUCCCACGGGAGCUUGUGAAGAAGGGCCAGUUCCCCAUCCAGUCCAUUACUUGGGAACACGCAGGGCAGUAUCACUGUCGGUAUUACAGCCACACUGGCUGGUCAGAGCCCAGUGACCCCCUGGAGCUGAUGGUGACAGGAGUCUACAGCAAACCCACCCUCUUAGCACUGCCCAGCCCUGUGGUGACCCCAGGAGGAAGCGUGACCCUCCGGUGUCGCUCACAGGUGCCAUUUGAUCACUUCACUCUGUGUAAGGAAGGAGAAGAUGAACACUCACCAUGCCUGAGCUCCCAGCCCCGUACCCGUGGGUCGUCCUGGGCCGUCUUCUCCGUGGGCCCCGUGAGCCCCAGUCGCAGGUGGACGUACAGGUGCUAUGGUUAUGACUCUCACUCUCCCUAUGUGUGGUCUUCACCCAGUGAUCUCCUGGAGCUCCGGGUCCCAGGUGCUUCUGAGAAGCCAUCACUCUCAGUGCAGCCGGGGCCUGUCGUGGCCCCUGGGGAGAGGCUGACCCUCCAGUGUGGCUCUGAUGUCGGCUAUGACAGGUUUGCUCUGUACAAGGACUGGGGGCCUGACCUCCUCCAGCGCCCUGGCCGGCAGACCCAGGCUGGGCUCUCCCAGGCCAACUUCACCCUGAGCCCUGUGAGGGUCUCCCACGGGGGCCAGUACAGAUGCUCCGGUGCCCACAACGUCUCCUCCGAGCAGUCGGCCCCCAGUGACCCCCUGGACGUCCUGAUCUCAGGACAGAUCCCUGGCAGACCCUCCCUCUCAGUGCAGCCGAAUUCCACGGUGGCCUCAGGAGAGAACGUGACCCUGCUGUGUCAGUCACAGAGGUGGAUGGACACUUUCCUUCUGACCAAGGAGGGAGCAGCUGAUGCCCCUCUAUGUCUAAGAUCAAAGCACCAAUCUGAUAGGGACCAGGCUGAAUUCCCCAUGAGUCCUGUGACCUCAGCCCACUCGGGGACCUACAGGUGCUAUGGCUCAUACACCUCCAACCCCUACCUGCUGUCUCACCCCAGUGACCCCCUGGAGCUCAUGGUUUCAGGACCCUCCUGGGGCCCCAGCCCCUCACCCACCGGUCCCACCCCCACACCUGGUCUGGGAAGGAACCUGGGGGUUGUGACCGGGGUCUCAGUGGCCUUCAUCCUGCUCCUCUUCCUCCUCCUCUUCCUCGUCCUCCGAUAUCAGCAUCAGGGCAAACACUGGACAUCAGCCCAGAGAGAGGCUGCUUUCCAACAUCCUGCAGGGGCUGUGGAGCCAGAACCCACAGGCGGAGGCCUGCAGAGGAGGUCCAGCCCAGCUGCCGACACCCAGGAAGAAACUCUCUAUGCUGCCGUGAAGGACACACAGCCUGAGGACGAGGUGGAGCUGGACACUCGGGACAGCCCACAUGAUGAAGACCCCCACGCAGUGACCUAUGCUAAGGUGAAUCACUCCAGACCCAGGAGAGAAAUGGCCUCCCCUCUUUCCCCUGUCUGGGGAAUUCCUGAGCACAAGGGACACACAAGCAGAAAAGGACAGGCAGGACAGUCAGGCUGCUGCAUCUGAAGCCCCCCAGGAUGUGACCUAUGCCCAGCUGCACAGCUUGACCCUUAAACGGGAGGCAACUGAGCCUCCUUCGUCCCAGGCAGGGGAGCCCCCAGCUGAGCACAGCAUCUACGCCACUCUGGCUGUCCACUACAUGAGAUCAUAUGGAAAAUGGGAAAGCCCUCAACCCACCAGCACAGGUAACCCCAGACACCUGCACGUUCUGAUUGGGUCCUCAGUAGCCAUCAUCCUCUUCAUCCUCCUCCUCUUCUUUCUCAUUCAUCGCUGGUGGCCCAACAAAAAGAAUGCUACUGUAAUGGACCAAGAGCCUGGGGCGGACAGAACAGUGAACAUCCAGGACUCUGAUGGACAAGACCCUCAGGAGGUGACAUACACACAGCUGGAUCACUGCGUUUUCAUGCAGAGAAAAAUCACUCGCCCUUCUCAGAGGCCCAGGAGACCCCCAACAGAAACCAGUGUGUACAUGGAAAUCCCAAAUGGCGAGCCCAGAUUGAAAGUUGUCUCCUGUCCGCUCUUGCUUACAAAUGCAGUUGCCAUGCAAGACAGUGCCAAUUUUCCUCAGGAUCCACCCCCACUACCCAUCUUUGCUUCUAAGCCAUAG